AUGUCCCUACGGGGGGCAGCAGUGGGGAAUAUUGGACAAUGGGGGAAACCCUGAUCCAGCGACGCCGCGUGAGUGAAGAAGUAUUUCGGUACGUAAAGCUCUAUCAGCAGGAAAGAAAAUGACGGUACCUGACCAAGAAGCCCCGGCUAAAUACGUGCCAGCAGCCGCGGUAAUACGUAUGGGGCAAGCGUUAUCCGGAUUUACUGGGUGUAAAGGGAGCGUAGGCGGCAGGGCAAGCCCGAUGUGAAAGCCCGGGGCUCAACCCCGGGACUGCAUUGGGAACUGCC
rnacentral:rRNA from 1 species